GUGUGUGCGCGUGUAUCUUAGCGCGUCUUGUCUGUCUCUCGUGCUUUUGUGUGUCACACUCCAAGUCCACCGCUUACUAACGAGGCAUAGUGUAAUAGCGAAGCUAUAUGAGUAAAACUCUUCUUAGAGGGAUUCACGGUUCUGAAACCGUAAGAAACUGAGAGCAAUAACAGGUCUGUGAUGCCCUUAGAUGUUCUGGGCCCGCACGCGCGCUACAAUGCCGGGCUCAGCAGGUAUCUAUCCUUCUCCGAGAGGAGUGGGUAACCCUCUGAAAGCCCUUCAAACAAUUUAACAAAGUGGAUGGUUUUUUUAAAAUCGUUCUUCUCUUUCUCCGGCUUGCUUGGCCUGGGGCUUGCAAUUCUUUCCCACAAACGAGGAAUGCCUAGUAGCG
rnacentral:rRNA from 1 species